UACGGAGGGUGCAAGCGUUAUCCGGAAUUACUGGGCGUAAAGGGCGCGUAGGCGGUGUGUCAAGUCAGGCGUGAAAGCCCCGGGCUCAACCUGGGAACAGCGCUUGAGACUGGCACGCUCGAGUUCGGGAGAGGAUGGUGGAAUUCCCAGUGUAGAGGUGAAAUUCGUAGAUAUUGGGAAGAACACCGAUGGCGAAGGCAGCCAUCUGGACCGACACUGACGCUGAGGCGCGAAAGCGUGGGGAGCAAACAGG
rnacentral:rRNA from 1 species